UCUUAAGAAAGAACCAAAACAUUUGCAUUUGUUCUGAAUAUGGUGGUUUUGUUUAGAAAAAUAGCUAUGGCUUUAGAACUCUUGUUAAGAGUUUCUUGGGUAUGUUGCCUGCUAAUUGGAGAGAGAACCAGUUCUAAUAACCCAAAAGGUGAUUAUGGAUAUAUUCCCCUAACUUCACCAAAAGUAACCGGCUCCUAUGCCCCAGCAGAAGUAAUAGCGCCCGUGUCUCCGCAGACGCAACAAGACCACGGCACAUGCGGCAGGACACUGGCAGAUGCAGAAGGCGCCCUUGCUUUGGCAGAAGAAACAGGACCCCGGCAGAUCUGGCAGGCGCCUUUUCCCCGGCAGAUCUGGCAGGCGCCUUUGCCCCGGCAGAUCUGGCAGGCGCCCUUACCUCAGCAGAAGCAACAGGACCCCAGCAGACGUGGCAGGCCCACGUGCCUCAGCAGGUCUUUGACAAAGAAAUUGAUACUAUUGUUGCAUGAUUUAAUGAUUAAUAAACCAUUUAAUUUCUGCCUAUAAAUUA